ACCUCAGUUGCGCAUCCCGAGUAGGGCCGGGCACGUGAAACCCGGUCCGAAGCCGGGGGGACCACCCUCCAAGGCUGAACACUCUCCUGUGACCGAUAGCGAACCAGUACCGUGAGGGAAAGGUGAAAAGCACCCCGAGAGGGGAGUGAAACAGUACCUGAAACCGUGCGCCCACAAGCAGUCGGAGCAGCCUUGCGCUGUGACGGCGUGCCUUUUGUAGAAUGAGCCAGCGAGUUGCGGUGUGCGGCGAGGUUAAGUUUGAAACGAGCCGCAGCGAAAGCGAGCCUUUAAGAUGGCGAGUGAGUCGCACGCUGCAGACGCGAAGCCGGGUGAGCUAUCCAUGGGCAGGCUGAAGCGGGGGUAAGACCCCGUGGAGGGCCGAACCCACUUCGGUUGAAAACGGAGGGGAUGACCCGUGGAUAGGGGUGAAAGGCCAAUCAAACCCGGAGAUAUCUCGUUCUCCCCGAAAUAGCUUUAGGGCUAGCCUCGGCCGUUAACCCGCGGUGGUAGAGCCACCGGAUCCCUGAGGGGGCCUCACCGCCUACCGACGGGAGCCGAACUCCGAAUGCCGCGGGUCCACAGGCCGGGAGUCAGAGGGCGUGGGCUAAGCUGCGCGCUCGAGAGGGAAACAGCCCAGACCGCCCGCUAAGGUCCCCAAGUCAUCGCUGAGUGGCAAAGGAUGUGCGUCUGCCCAGACAACCAGGAUGUUGGCUUAGAAGCAGCCAUGCAUUUAAAGAGUGCGUAACAGCUCACUGGUCGAGUGGACAUGCGCCGACAAUUCACGGGGCUAAGCGAUGCACCGAAGCGGCGGACUGAUUCUUUCAGUGGUAGGGGAGCUCUCCGCGCUGCGGCGAAGCGGGUGCGCGAGCAUCCGUGGAGCGCGCGGAGGUGAGAAUGCUGGCAUGAGUAACGAGAGCGGCGCGAGAAACGCCGCCGCCGUGAGCCUAAGGGUUCCUGGGCGAGGCUAAUCCCCCCAGGGUCAGUCGGGAGCUAAGGCGAGGCCGGGAGGCGUAGCCGAUGCGCAGCGGGCAGACAUUCCCGCACCGCCGACGGCGCGGCAUUACCGAUGGGGCGACGGAGAAGGGUAGCCGGGCGGGGUUCUGGACGUCCCCGUGAAAGCGCGUAGGGCGGUCCGCAUGGAAAUCAGCGGGCCGUAUAGCCUGAGACGCGAGACGAAGCGAUAGAGCGAAGCCGGUGAGCCCAUGCUUCCGAGAAAAACCUCUAGGGAGUGCCGUCGGCGCCCGUACCAAAACCGACACAGGUGGGCGGGUAGAACAUACCGAGGCGAUCGGGAGAACCACGGUUAAGGAACUCGGCAUACUGGCCCCGUAACUUCGGGAGAAGGGGCGCCCCCGCCGGUGAAGGACCUCGCGUCCGGAGCUAGUGGGGGC
rnacentral:rRNA from 1 species